rnacentral:rRNA from 1 species
UACGAAGUUGGCAAGCGUUGUUCGGAGAUACUGGGCGUACAGGGAGCGUAGGCGGUUGGGUAAGCCCUCCGUGAAAUCUCCAGGCUUAACCUGGAAAGGGCAGAGGGGACUGCUCGGCUAGAGGAUGGGAGAGGAGCGCGGAAUUCCCGGUGUAGCGGUGAAAUGCGUAGAGAUCGGGAGGAAGGCCGGUGGCGAAGGCGGCGCUCUGGAACAUUUCUGACGCUGAGGCUCGAAAGCGUGGGGAGCAAACAGGAUUAGAUACCCUGGUAGUCCACGCCUUAAACGAUGGAUACUAAGUGUCGGCGGGUUACCGCCGGUGCCGCAGCUAACGCAGUAAGUAUCCCGCCUGGGAAGUACGGCCGCAAGGUUGAAACUUAAAGGAAUUGACGG